UGCAGUCGAGCGGUAGAGAGAAGCUUGCUUCUCUUGAGAGCGGCGGACGGGUGAGUAAUGCCUAGGAAUCUGCCUGGUAGUGGGGGAUAACGUUCGGAAACGGACGCUAAUACCGCAUACGUCCUACGGGAGAAAGCAGGGGACCUUCGGGCCUUGCGCUAUCAGAUGAGCCUAGGUCGGAUUAGCUAGUUGGUGAGGUAAUGGCUCACCAAGGCGACGAUCCGUAACUGGUCUGAGAGGAUGAUCAGUCACACUGGAACUGAGACACGGUCCAGACUCCUACGGGAGGCAGCAGUGGGGAAUAUUGGACAAUGGGCGAAAGCCUGAUCCAGCCAUGCCGCGUGUGUGAAGAAGGUCUUCGGAUUGUAAAGCACUUUAAGUUGGGAGGAAGGGCAGUUACCUAAUACGUGAUUGUUUUGACGUUACCGACAGAAUAAGCACCGGCUAACUCUGUGCCAGCA
rnacentral:rRNA from 1 species